rnacentral:lncRNA from 1 species
ACUUUUUCAAAGAAGUAUAAAAAAAUUAAAAUAAAGAAGUAUGUAUAAUAAAAGGAAACUACAAUGUCUAUUGUCAAAAGAUAAGAAAAUUAGAGAGUCUUGAAACUAGACUAGAAGCAAAAAAAGAAUUAAUAAGAAUAAAGAAGGAUUCACUCUUGCCUCUAUAUAUAUUAUCUAUCUAAGAGCUAUAUGGCAACAUUCUAUAGGACCUCCAAAAAUGUGUUGAUUUUGUAUAAUUCAUACCUUUACUUGCAAGGCAAGUUUACUAUAUGGAUACCAUAUAGUUAGCUUAAUCUGCAAGCUAUACAACAUAUUUGGUACAUGAUUAACUUGUUGAUCAAAUUUCU